UUAAAUUGAAGAGUUUGAUCAUGGCUCAGAUUGAACGCUGGCGGCAGGCCUAACACAUGCAAGUCGAACGGUAACAGGAAGAAGCUUGCUUCUUUGCUGACGAGUGGCGGACGGGUGAGUAAUGUCUGGGAAACUGCCUGAUGGAGGGGGAUAACUACUGGAAACGGUAGCUAAUACCGCAUAACGUCGCAAGACCAAAGAGGGGGACCUUCAGGCCUCUUGCCAUCGGAUGUGCCCAGAUGGGAUUAGCUAGUAGGUGGGGUAACGGCUCACCUAGGCGACGAUCCCUAGCUGGUCUGAGAGGAUGACCAGCCACACUGGAACUGAGACACGGUCCAGACUCCUACGGGAGGCAGCAGUGGGGAAUAUUGCACAAUGGGCGCAAGCCUGAUGCAGCCAUGCCGCGUGUAUGAAGAAGGCCUUCGGGUUGUAAAGUACUUUCAGCGGGGAGGAAGGGAGUAAAGUUAAUACCUUUGCUCAUUGACGUUACCCGCAGAAGAAGCACCGGCUAACUCCGUGCCAGCAGCCGCGGUAAUACGGAGGGUGCAAGCGUUAAUCGGAAUUACUGGGCGUAAAGCGCACGCAGGCGGUUUGUUAAGUCAGAUGUGAAAUCCCCGGGCUCAACCUGGGAACUGCAUCUGAUACUGGCAAGCUUGAGUCUCGUAGAGGGGGGUAGAAUUCCAGGUGUAGCGGUGAAAUGCGUAGAGAUCUGGAGGAAUACCGGUGGCGAAGGCGGCCCCCUGGACGAAGACUGACGCUCAGGUGCGAAAGCGUGGGGAGCAAACAGGAUUAGAUACCCUGGUAGUCCACGCCGUAAACGAUGUCGACUUGGAGGUUGUGCCCUUGAGGCGUGGCUUCCGGAGCUAACGCGUUAAGUCGACCGCCUGGGGAGUACGGCCGCAAGGUUAAAACUCAAAUGAAUUGACGGGGGCCCGCACAAGCGGUGGAGCAUGUGGUUUAAUUCGAUGCAACGCGAAGAACCUUACCUGGUCUUGACAUCCACGGAAGUUUUCAGAGAUGAGAAUGUGCCUUCGGGAACCGUGAGACAGGUGCUGCAUGGCUGUCGUCAGCUCGUGUUGUGAAAUGUUGGGUUAAGUCCCGCAACGAGCGCAACCCUUAUCCUUUGUUGCCAGCGGUCCGGCCGGGAACUCAAAGGAGACUGCCAGUGAUAAACUGGAGGAAGGUGGGGAUGACGUCAAGUCAUCAUGGCCCUUACGACCAGGGCUACACACGUGCUACAAUGGCGCAUACAAAGAGAAGCGACCUCGCGAGAGCAAGCGGACCUCAUAAAGUGCGUCGUAGUCCGGAUUGGAGUCUGCAACUCGACUCCAUGAAGUCGGAAUCGCUAGUAAUCGUGGAUCAGAAUGCCACGGUGAAUACGUUCCCGGGCCUUGUACACACCGCCCGUCACACCAUGGGAGUGGGUUGCAAAAGAAGUAGGUAGCUUAACCUUCGGGAGGGCGCUUACCACUUUGUGAUUCAUGACUGGGGUGAAGUCGUAACAAGGUAACCGUAGGGGAACCUGCGGUUGGAUCACCUCCUUACCUUAAAGAAGC
rnacentral:rRNA from 1 species